UACGAAGGGGGCUAGCGUUGCUCGGAAUCACUGGGCGUAAAGCGCACGUAGGCGGAUUGUUAAGUCAGGGGUGAAAUCCUGGAGCUCAACUCCAGAACUGCCUUUGAUACUGGCGAUCUUGAGUCCGGGAGAGGUGAGUGGAACUGCGAGUGUAGAGGUGAAAUUCGUAGAUAUUCGCAAGAACACCAGUGGCGAAGGCGGACUCACUGGCCCGGUACUGACGCUGAGGUGCGGAAAGCGUGGGGAG
rnacentral:rRNA from 1 species